AAAGCCCUGAAGUUAUAUAUAUUCUAUUUAUUAUUAUUAUUUUACAGAUAUAACUGUUGCAGAUGAGAAGGAGAUGGAUGAUGCUGAUUACUACAAACAGGAAGUGGGAGAAGAACCAGAACCAGGCCUGUUCUCCAGCACAAAUUCCAAACGAAGGAGAUCGGAAUCACAGGGACCUCCAAAAA